rnacentral:rRNA from 1 species
UACGUAGGUGACCAGCGUUGUCCGGAUUUACUGGGCGUAAAGAGCGCGCAGGCGGUCGUUCAAGUCGAGUGUGAAAGCCCCCGGCUCAACUGGGGAGGGUCACUCGAUACUGAUCGACUUGAAGGCAGGAGAGGGAAGCGGAAUUCCCGGUGUAGUGGUGAAAUGCGUAGAUAUCGUCAAGAACACCUAUAGCGAAGGCAGCUUACUAGGCUGUAACUGACGCUGAGGCACGAAAGUGUGGGGAUCAAACAGG